AUACGUAGGGUGCGAGCGUUGUCCGGAAUUACUGGGCGUAAAGAGCUCGUAGGUGGUUUGUCGCGUCGUCUGUGAAAUUCCGGGGCUUAACUCCGGGCGUGCAGGCGAUACGGGCAUAACUUGAGUACUGUAGGGGAGACUGGAAUUCCUGGUGUAGCGGUGAAAUGCGCAGAUAUCAGGAGGAACACCGGUGGCGAAGGCGGGUCUCUGGGCAGUAACUGACGCUGAGGAGCGAAAGCAUGGGUAGCGAACAGGAUUAGAUACCCUGGUAGUCCAUGCCGUAAACGGUGGGCGCUAGGUGUAGGGGUCUUCCACGACUUCUGUGCCGUAGCUAACGCAUUAAGUGCCCCGCCUGGGGAGUACGGCCGCAAGGCUAAAACUCAAAUGAAUUGACGGGG
rnacentral:rRNA from 1 species